rnacentral:rRNA from 1 species
GACGAACGCUGGCGGCGUGCUUAACACAUGCAAGUCGAACGAUGAAGCCGGAGCUUGCUCUGGUGAAUUAGUGGCGAACGGGUGAGUAACACGUGAGUAACCUGCCCUUGACUCUGGGAUAACUGCUAGAAAUGGUAGCUAAUACCGGAUACGACCCUCGGAGGCAUCUCCAGGGGGUGGAAAGAAUUUCGGUCAAGGAUGGACUCGCGGCCUAUCAGCUAGUUGGUGAGGUAAUGGCUCACCAAGGCGACGACGGGUAGCCGGCCUGAGAGGGUGACCGGCCACACUGGGACUGAGACACGGCCCAGACUCCUACGGGAGGCAGCAGUGGGGAAUAUUGCACAAUGGGCGCAAGCCUGAUGCAGCAACGCCGCGUGAGGGAUGACGGCCUUCGGGUUGUAAACCUCUUUUAGUAGGGAAGAAGCGAAAGUGACGGUACCUGCAGAAAAAGCACCGGCUAACCACGUGCCAGCCGCCGCUGUAA